UGGCGCAACGGUAGCGCGUCUGAUUCCAGUCCAGAAGGUUGAGUGUUCAAGUCACUC
rnacentral:tRNA from 1 species